rnacentral:rRNA from 1 species
AUUGAACGCUGCGGCAGGCUUAACACAUGCAAGUCGAGCGAGCGGCCGACGGGUGAGUAAUGCUUAGGAAUCUGACUAUUAGUUGGGGACAACAUCUCGAAAGGGACGCUAAUACCUCAUACUUAUAGAUGAGUCUCGUCGGAUUAGCUAGUUGGUGGGGUAAAGGCCUACCAAGGCGACGAUCUGUAGCGGGUCUGAGAGGAUGAUCCGCCACACUGGGACUGAGACACGGCCCAGACUCCUACGGGAGGCAGCAGUGGGGAAUAUGGACAAUGGGGGGAACCCUGAUCCAGCCAUGCCGCGUGUGUGAAGAAGGCCUUAUGGUUGUAAAGCACUUUAAGCGAGGAGGCGUUACCGACAGAAGAAGCACCGGCUAACUCCGUGCCAGCAGCCGCGGUAAUUC